rnacentral:lncRNA from 1 species
GCAAUUAGGUAAAAAGCGGAAAUGUCACGUCAAGACCUUUAACAACAGCCUGCGUAACACAAAAAGACAAGAUACCAGGUGAGAGGUGUGCCCAUGCGGCAUUUAUUAGGAGGGGGUGGACAUUUGGAAUGAAAUGCCUAUCUCAAUCAAUCAGCCAUACAUUAGACAUAAAUUACAAUCUGUGUUAAAAUGACUAAUUAUUGACAUCUGCGGCGCCAUCCUUGUGUAACUGUGUUUUAAUUUUAAAGUUCAGUAAAGGAAUGUGGUUUCCACAGGUGUAUCCUGCCCAUUGUUGGCCAGAAUGAAGUCAUUCGAAAAGAGGAAUUUCAGAAACUUUACUAUGAGCUAUCAUGGGUGGUUCCCCUGUGCGUUCAGGAAGGAAAUACUACGUUGCUCGUAGACAAAGAAAAUGUUGAAAAAAAAAAAAAAGUUCACAGCUUCAUACCAGAUAAAAGAAUAGCCCAUAUUAUUAGAAUGAAAUGUUGCUAAAAUACAAAACUUUUGGAAGAAAACAACAAAUAACUGCUUGACUUACUGCUGGACUCCCUGUGCCACUAGGUCACAGAGGCAAGGUAGAAGGAAGGGGGGAUAUAAGCAGAAGAACACAAGUAAACAAAAAGGGCACUCCACCCAAAAUAAACAUUAACCCUCAGUGCUAACAUACCUCUAGAUUUACACGUACAGCCUUACAACCCGAUUAGAAAAGUAAGAGGUGUCUAAAUCUAUUGGCAUAUUAAAACCCAUAAAGGGUCACUAUCAUCAGCAGACCCAUUACAGCUUAAUGUUGUGGUUUUGGGGCAAAUAGACUCGGCAUUGUAAAUGCUGUAUAAAUGGAGAUGCUGAACUCUCCACAGAGGUGUAGGGGCACACGUCGCAUGGCAAUAUGAGAACAAAAGCAUUAUCUGUUUCUCCUCUUCUCUAUACUACCUGUCAGGUGCAAAGGACAAAACCAAGACUGAGGUUCUCUGUUCCAGGGGAGAAGUAGCUUCAACGUUAUGGCCUUUAUGUAGGUUUCCAUUUUAAUUUUCAGACCCAUAUUUGUUAAAUAUAGGAGGAUAAGAAUUUUUUUUUUUUUUUAAUGUAAAAUCCUAAUUUUCUUGUUUAUUGUGUGUCCUUAAAUUCUUGCAAUUAGUAGACCUUCCAGUAGGAAAACGGACAUUGGUCUCAGAUUUUGUUAAUCCUUUGCCCAAGUCCUCACCAUAACAACUUUAAGAUGUCCUGUACAAACUACACUCUUAGGGAUAGUUACUAUAAGACACAGGCUCAUGUGACACAUGGCUGUACGCGGAUAUAGAUGCACUCGUAAAAAGGCCAUCAUUUCCAAGCACUUCAAGAAAUUGAUGUACUCAAAUGUGCGUUGCCAAGUGAACAAAAGGCCAAAACACAGCAGAACUAGAAAGAUUUUCAAAAUGUCCCCCUCUCACACCUUGGGUACAUUUUGCAUUAUGACUGAAUUCACCAUUUAGUGAUUAACCCCUAUUAAACUUUUAUAUGUGGUUUGCUACUGCUGCACACAAACAUUUUGUUUCUGCAUAGACUAUAAACUAUCUGCCAAAGGUGACUUUGGAACAAUGUGAUAAAGGAACACCUAGUAACUAUUUAUCUAUUGAGUUUGUAAAUGCAACAGCAACAGCUUCCUGUUGAAGGCAGACAGUCUGUUUCUGACUUAAAUGCCCACUUUCUAGUAGCUCAGACUGUUAUGGGUGUGUAUUUUAGUGAUAACAACAUUAACAUGCAGAGCGUAGAGCAUUAAAACUCACCACAAUGUAUGCAUUAAGCUGUACAAAUAAUAUACGUCAAUAUUGGUCUACAAAAUGUAUAUAAUAUUUAUUUUUUUUGAGUCUAAUCGGGAGGGCAUGAUGCAUGAAAAAUAAAAUAAAAAUAAUUAUAUCAUUGACAGCUGGUCCUAUAGCAACAUUACCCUAAAUCACGAUAGUUUAUCAAAAAAUGAGCGAUGAAUAAAAAUCUUUAAAAACAAAAACAAAAAAAAAAACAUUAAUUAAAAUCUCCAACUUGUGGCCUGAAUUUGAAAUAUCUUUUUUAGUUUCUUGACAAUUCAAAAUGUAUUAAAUGACGCCCACAAAUGUUUUUGUGGUCUGUGAGGUUUUUAUUGGGGUAUACCUCAAUCCUGGGAUUUCCAGACAAAUUGCUGGAGGUACCUCUGCAGUAACUAUUUCAAGUGCUUCAAAAAGGAACCUGUUGAGGUUUAAAGUCAUACAAAUGCCAGCCCCACUGGGGGAGCAGAAGAAGCUGGCCUAAUGCUUGUAUUAAUGUACUAGUAAUCUAGGGCUGCUACCUUUAGCAAACAUAGAAACUUGGAGGAGACAUUAAGGAAAUCGACUUAUCACAGUGAAAAGAUAGCUCGGCUGCUGUAUAGUACAAUAAUGGGAGUUAUUAAGGCUUGGUUCCAAACCUGAAUGAACUUUGGCAGCAAACUAGAGGUUGCAGUAAAUGAAGGGAACCUGGCACGAUGCUUGUUCUAAACCAUGCAGCAGUUUCCGCUGACUUAUGUAAAAUUGCAUUAAUUCAACGUCUACACAUGCAACCUUUGGAAUUCCAACCUGUGUGCUCAAGGACUGAACAUUCUAGUGGUUUGAAUUCUGGGUAGCAUGCCUACCAAAGCACACACACUGACCAAACCAAAUAUCUCUCAAGCAAUGCGAACCCACAUAGGUUACAGCGAAUGAACCCAGACAGAAUUUAAAUCAUCCCUUAUAAAUUCACCCAUUGAGAAUAAAUAUUGAAUAUUAAACCUAACUACUUAUAUUCAGGCUCCUAACUAUUACUCACAUGUUGCUCUGCCAGCCCUGAUUGACAUUUGGAGCAUAAAAUGGUGCCUUUAUUUUCAUGGGAACUGCAGGUAUUUAUACCAGAACUACAAAAGACACUUAUUCUAGGCCAGGGGUGCCCAACAGAUAGAUUCUCCAGAGGUUUUAAAACUACAGCUUCCAUGAAAGGCCUGCAAAGCACCAUGGGUGAUGUAGUUCUACAACAUCUGGGGAUCUACCUUUUGGGUACCCCUGGGUACCCCUGUUCCAGACAGAAUUUAAAUGAUCCUUUAUAUCCCGGAUGCGAUGGGUUAUAUAAACAUAGCCACGCAUCCGCCCCUUUCUUACGCAAGAUGCUACUAAGGAGCUUGUCCAUGCUCUAGUAAUCUAAGCAUGGAUUAUUGUAACUCUCUCUUAACAGGUCUUUCCAGAAGUCAUAUUGACUCGCUACAGUCUGUAAUGAAUGCUGCAGCUAGACUGAUUUUCCUCUCCUGUUGCUGCUCUCAAACCUCUCCCCUCUGUCAGUCCUUUCAUUGGCUUCCUGUAUCCUAUAUGAGUCAAUUCAAGGUACUAAUCCACACCUAUAAAGCACUGACCAAUUCUAGCCCCUCCUACAUCUCUUCACUGAUCUGCAGGUAUGCCCCUUCUCAGUCUCUCCGUUCUGCCCAUGACCUUCUCCUGUCCGCUGCUCACACCCGUACGGCCUACUCACGCUUGCAGGACUUCUUGCAGGUGGCUCCUUUCCUUUGAAAUAGCUUGCCUACAAUGAUCAAGCUCUCUCCUAGUCUUCAAUCAUUUAAAAAGUGCCUCAAAACCCAUCUCUUAAGGAAAGCUUAUGGCCUCCCAGAGUAACCUCUACCUCACAUACCUGUCUCUUGCUCUCUCCUAAAGGGCAGCACUCUAUUCUCUCCUCCAGCACGGAUUCACUCCACCUUGUUUGAUUGCUACCUCCUGUCCUGUUGUGUUUUACGCCCCACCUCCUAUAGACUGUAAGCUCGUUUGAGCAGGGUCCUCUUCAACCUAUCGUUCCUGUAAGUUUUUGCAAUUGUCUCAUUUAUUGUUAAAUCUCCCCCUUUGAUAAUAUUGUAAAGCGCCAUGGACUGUGCUGGCGCUAUAUAAAUACCAGUAAUAAUAAAUAAUAAUAAUAAUAAUAAUAAUAAUAAUAAUAGGCAAUACAAAUAUUACAUUUAUACUUUUUAAGUUAUAUUAAAAUCAUGCCUAGGUUGAAAUAUAUUUUUGGAAUUUUUAUUUUGUUUUACAUGUUUAUUUAGUUUGUAAUAAAAGCAAUUAGACUGUAAAUUAUUAGUGCAGUUUCAUAAGUGCCCACGCAGAGGCUAAUGAAGUCAGCAGAAAACAUAUUUAUAUAUCAAUAAGGAGAAAGCAUAAAGAAAUAUAACAGCUUCCAAUAAUCAUAUAUCGAAUUAGGUUGAUCGUGUAUUCUAAUGCAGGCGUCUGAGUAAGCAUAUUUGUACCCGAGUAAUAUAUUAUCUAAUUGAGUGUUUAGUUAGGAUGUGCAACGUUAGGUCAGUGGUGUAUCCUGGUUUUGUGCUGCCCUAGGCAGGACAAAACUCAGGCACCAGCGCCAUCCUCACCCAACCCUUCCACCCUGCCCCGCCUUCUAAAUACAAACACACACAUUCACUGAAAGAUACGCAUACACUAGCUAACAGACACACACACACACACACACACACACACACACUCACAUUAACACACUCACUUUUCUUCUUAAUUUACCCCCCCCGCCUCCUUACCUUUGGGAAUGUUGGGGGGGGGGUUCUUUCUCCCUGGGGUUUAGUGGGGCUACUGGGCAGGUGGCGCUGGCGAGGGAGCACUUUCCCCUGAGCUGUCUGCUCAGCUCCCUUGCGCACCGCAAAGUGAUGCUGGUCACCUGAAGCCGGAAUAUGACGUCAUAUUCUGGCUCCCAGCAUCACCCUGCGGCGCGCGAGGGAGCUGAGCAGACAGCUCAGGGGAAAGUGCUCACUCGCCAGUGCCGCCCGCCUGGCUUGUCAGUUAGCCACAAGGCUAACAAGACAUUUGCCCUGGGCAUUUGGGGCGGCUUUUUUUGCCAUCUCCUGGAAAAUGCCGCCCAAGGCAAAUGCCUUGUUUGCCUCGUGGCUAAAACGUCCCUGCGUUAGGUUACUUAUGCGUAAGUGGAAGAAUUUUUAUUUUGUAUGUGUGGAGUUACGUAGGAAUAAAGGACACUUUUAGAAAUCACACAAAUGCUUUAACACAGCUUUGACUGGAAGCCAUUCAUAGUUGUUAUAAUUUAUGUAGUGCCAACAAAUUCCGCAGCGCUGUACAAUGGAUUUUGUACUGUAAUUGCAAAAUAUAGGCCACAAAUUACUUGAAAUAGUAAAACAUUCUUCAAUGCAGUCAUUUUCCAGCUGAAAUUGUGGCCUAAAUGUGUAAUUUAUAGUUUAGUGAAUUAAUGCUCCUCUUUGGCAGUUUUCCAGAAAUGAUUUGGCCAUGGGGAGGAUGCAGAUGAAAAUAUUGUGAAAUAGGCGGUUUCCUAAUGUAUGGCUCAGAAUGAAAGUGUUUUGAAAUUCCAGCACAGCCCAUUAUCUGCUAAGUGCCUUAAUUUGUAUAGAAAUAUUCAUAUAUGAUUCUUAAAAAAGGGAAAUUGACGCAGCUCCUAUCAGAUGCUAUGCUGCACAUUUGGGUUAAGUCACAAUAGAAAAAAAAAAAAAACAGAACACAAACAAAACAAAACUAUAAUCACACACAAAAGCACUCUGCUAUAGUUUCAGCAUGGUUAUUUUAAUCCGAAUUUUGCAAGUUGAUUUUUAACUUACUGCAGUAUUGGCUCUUUUUUUUUUUUUUCAAUUCGUCAUUUAUUGAAAAAGUUUUGGUAUGUGUGGUACAGAAAAGAAAUGGGGAAAUGGUGGAACAUGUGCAAAUCAAGCAUUUCGAUCUGCAGUAAUAGAGAUUACACGCUAAUUGGCAAUCCAUACAUGAAGGUCAAGGCAACAGAGCCGUUUGCAUUAGCGGUAGGUCCAGUAGGUUAGAACCUUACUGGGUACUCGCACUCUGGAUUUUAUUCGUGGGGGCCAGCAUUACUGAAGCCCUGCGGAGGUAGGGUAGUAUGGUUUGGGCGGUUACGACCCAUUUGUAACAAAACACACAAGUUUGCUGAAACAAUCACCCAAUAUUCAACAUUUAAUCUAGCCCUGUGUCGCAAACUCAUUUCAUCCCCUCUAGAUUGCACAUCAAAUAGGUGGGGAUACGUCAGAACUCGAACAUUCAUAUAACCAUCAUUGAUGUCCACAUAUGUCUGUGUCUACUUAGAAGGCUGUGGACGGGAUACGCUAUAUAGGUGAUAACAUGUUCUGUGACGUGUGGUUAAGCCACCGUUGCCAGCUGUGGUGAGUGGAAGCUAUUUGUUUGGGUGUUGCUGCUGUUAGCAUUCAUUCCAAUUGUCGUAUCUUACGACAUAACUGCGGAGGAGAAGGGCACACAGUUUGUUUCCAGUGGCCAGCGAUCAGAUUGCGUGCAGCCAGGAUUAUUAUUACCAGUAAAUGCCUGUCCGAAGGAGGGACAUUAAUAGGGGAGUAUUGACUUUUUUAAACACCUAUUUUCUGUUUAUCAUUAGAGAUGUCGCGAACCGUCCUUCUCUGGGAGGGAGGGUCUGCUGGAGAUUGGCCGGGAUGUGUCAGCUGACCGGAGUUCGCCGUGAACAGCUCGUGGCGAACCGUUCGCGAGAAGUUCGCGGACGGUUCGCGACAUCUCUAUUUAUCAUGAGACAAAAGUGCUUUUGGUGAUCACACCUACGAUAGUACCAUUGUUCUACUACAAUAAAUAUAAACAAAAAUACAUUGCUCCCCUCAUUGGGUACAGAAAGGCCUAACAAUAAUGGCAGUGCUUUUCAGGAAAGCUCCAAAAUUAAUUUUAUUUAGACCAGACAUGAUAAUGUCACAAUGGACAGAUUUGAAAACCAUGCAUGGUUUGCACGCAUGCAUAUCAUACGUAGGCCCAGAGGAGUUCAAUUCAUAAAAGUACAUUUUCUGGAUUGUUUAGGGAAAUGUUUCUUUCUGCCCUGUAUAUACUUUUUUGAGGAGGCAGUGGAAGACGUACACACAAAAUAUUACCCUGCUACGACAGAUCUGUAGAAUUUAUACCCAUAUCUCCCAACAUGUCAAAUGGGCAGAAAGUGACAUUUAUUUUAGGGAGGGCUGCCUAGAUGGGGCAGUGCCAGCAUAUUAUAGAAACCCUUGUGAUCUUUAGUGCUACUGAAAAUGUAACCCGACCAAAGUAGCUUAUUUACACAUUUAUUUCUAAAUACAUUUAUUACAUCUUAAAUACAUAUCACUGUGAGUUUUAAAGUUCCGAGACUGUUAAACACCCAGACAUCCUAACAAUAUGGAGCUCCUAAAAGAGGGGGGCAUUAGGAUAAACGAGAGAGAGAAAGUUAUUUGAACUAAACUAGGGACUGAGCAUCAUAAAUAGGGACACUUGGGAAGUAUGCAUAUCUCUUAUCCCCCUAAGCCACUUAAGUCUUGAAACAAUGAGACGUAGUCAGAAGUGCUAUGCAGAGGUGUGUGCCUGCCUACGUAGCUUUAAUAAUAGGCUUCACUGCUGUGACUCAGUACUCGACAUAAUUAUAUUAAUUGUGCAGGCCCAAGCAUAUUCUGUAAUUGCAGUACUUGCAGGAAGCCCAGCAUGUCCGGGGUCAUGUAUUAAAUAGUGUUAAUGGUGAGGACUUUGGUUUGGGUGCCAGCUGGCGUGCAUUGACUUGAGGUUAAGCUAUAAGUUACGAUACUACAGGGUGUGUGUGAUUUGUGGUGGGUAAAGAUAGGUGGGGAGCACACGACAAGCUAUAGAAGGACACAUUGGGAGGAUUGCUAAUUAAAGUUGAGAAGAGAUCAGGGCUGCUCUGGGUUGGUACCAGAAAGACUUUUUGAGUCAGUGCAUCCACACCCACCACCUGUACUCUGUGCAGGACAGAAUUCUUUAACUUUUAAUUUUUUUUUUUUUUAUUAUUACAUUUAUUUUUAGAGGAGGACUUCACCCCUCCCAGGCACAAGACUUUGAGUAGGAGUUUUCUCAUAUUCUCCAACUGCACCUUAUCAGAAGUAUCCAAGGUAAAGGAUUGUUAAUGAAUGUGUCUUAAACUUAGGACUGCAUCCCAAAUCCCCUAUCCAUUCGUCAAGACACACAUUGCUUUAGCAAAUGCUCUUGAUUAAAGUUAAAAAUUCCUCCAAAUCAUUUCCUUUACACAAAACCCAAUUAAAUAAGCCUGUAAAUUUCAGGGUAUUUCCCCAAAGGCCACCAACAAACAUUAUCACAUUUCAUAGACACAGAUCAACCUCAUAAGUUUAUCCAGGUGGUCCUCACUUUACUACCAACUCUCUAGCAUGGGAAUUCAAAGGAAUUUUUCAUGAACAUAGAUUAGAGGGAUUCCCUGCUCUUCUGCGCUUGUCUAUGUUUGGGGAAAUUUACCCGAACAUAGACCUCACUUACUGACCAAUUCGUUUUACGACCUGAGUAUCUGUAAUGUGAGGAGUAUCUAAUGACAAGCAUCACAUGAAUAGUGAUGCCUGGCAGUAUGUAGUAGUCAAAUGCCAAAUGUAGGAAAAGUAACUCAAUCUGAGGAAGUCUACAAAAUGAUUGCUAAAUGACACAUCAUGUUCUGCUUAUCACAAAAAGAGACUGUGUGUACUUAAAACAUGGUUGAUUUUUGUCCCUGAAAUGGUCCAAUCAAAUGCUUUUUAUGACAAGCAUUUGAUUGGACCAGGCGAGGUAAUCAGUGACAUUGGAUAGGGGGUGCGGUGGGGUGACAAACAAUGUGGAGAGCUUCACUUGGCACGUUGUAAUUAAUUUUCUUCCCUUACUUUAAAGGUCUUCAGGGCGUAAGGGGGGAAUAACACCAAAUUGCUAAGGAUCAAUAAAAAAAAAGUUAAAAAGGUUUGGAGUAACCCUAUAAGAAAUAAAUAUGUAUUCUGUACAAGUUUAUUUCAGUCUGGGCAUGAUCCCUGGCAUAUCAUGCAAAUUCCAUGAUUAUUUGCAAAUUAGUACAGAGACAUAAAAGGAAAGCAAAGCUGCUUUUGCCACUUUGCAUAUUGACGCAUAUAGUACUGUUAAAAUGUAUGUAGGAAAUGGGCACAUUAUUUAACUGCAAUCCAACAGCAGACACUUUAGGAAACAGUUGUUUUAACUGUCCCAGUAGGCACCCAGACCACUUCAGCUAAUUGAAGUGGUCUAGGUGCUGUGUCCCUAUUGCACUUAGUGCUGCAAUGUAAAACAUUGCCUUUCCAGAGAACUGCAAUGUUUACAUUGCAGCUCUAAGUUUAAGUCUACCAGACAGCCACUGGGGGAGCUUUGGAAACGUUCUGCAUGAGGACUUCCAGCAUUAGAUUUUCCCCACAGGAAAGCAUUAGGUCUCCCCCGCCGGCAGAAGUUGGCAGAGGAGGAGCGUCUGCGGAGCCUGACCCAGCAUCGAGGGACAUAGGCCCUGGAUUCAGGUAAGUGGGUGAAGGGGUUGUAAAGAACCUCAUGUACUUUGUGAAGUACGUUCGUUUGCACCCUCCCGAAAUGCUAGAGGUUUAGUGAUUAUAGUCCGUUCGCAUAGUACGCUGGUUAGUACUAUCCCGAAAUCCAAGCAGGUUGUGAGAAUAAAUUAAUCGGUUCAUCGGUCACAUACUCAAACAUUAGUCAAGACUUGAUGAAUGGUACAACUGGAAUGUUUUAUUAUGGCCAGGUGGCCCACUUAUAUAGACAGAACCCCAGCAUGGGGUCUCAAGCAAGGACAUAGUAUAACACUCCCACAACAUGCCCAAGACAUUCCCAGGCCUCAGUGUCUGGGAGAUAAUUUAGUGUACUUUGCUUAAACUAAUUAUCUCCCAGGCACUAGAGGUACAAAUCAUAAAACAUAAAAUACCCCAAAUACAUAUAACACAUAGAUGAACCCCCACAAAUAUUCUACCCCAGAUAGCCUGGAUCUGAGCGCCUAACAUAUCCAAAUAGCGCUCAGAUCCUACGAAUAUAACCGAAUCGCCCCCAGGGUAAAGUUUUGACUUUUUGGGAGUUCCAAAAUGAACAAAAAAAACCAAACUGUUCCCCUGUUUAUAGGUAGCGAUUCUUCGCCUUGUUCAUGCGAACAAUCCUACCGAACUGCGCUCUCCUGGCUUGUCGUGGAAAGAAGCAAGUGUUCGUGUGAAAUUACAGGUGAUCGCAAGUCAAGUGUUCAACUUAUAGUUCCAGACACUUGAUGACCAAUAGAGAUGUCGCGAACUUCCCGCGAACGGCUCGCCGCGAGCUCCGGUCAGCUGACACAUCCCGGCCAAUCUCCAGCAGACCCUCCCUCCCAGACCCUCCCACCUCCUGGACAGCAUCCAUGUUGAAGCUGCCUUCGUGGCGAACCGUGGCGAGCCCUUCGUGGGAAGUUCGCGAACGGUUCGCGACAUCACUAAUGACCAAGUCCCGCUGCCUACUUUCGUGUGACAAGAUGGCCGCCGUUUUCUCCAGCACGUGUUGUUUGGUUAUACGAAUGGUGGCCAAAACAGAAAGAGCACUUGAGUUAGUUUAUUUGGAGCUAAUGAACCAAGGGGUGGUCCCAUCUACCGAACACAGGGAAUUUAACUGGGUGAAUAAAAAUACAGAGUUUGUCACAUGGGGUUUAACCCCUUCAGCCCCUCAGGAGGGGAGGGCGCAAUGGAGGGGGGCUCCUUAGGAACCUAUAGAGCCAGGAAAACAGCCUUUAAAUCGGUGUUAUUUACUGAAGUGAGAAUUGCUGGAAUCCAAAUAGAAUUUCAAAAUUUAAGGCCAAAGUAGAUAAACUGGAAAAACUAUCCCAAAUCAACUAGGUUUCCAGCACAAACACACACACUAAAUUAACAUUUUAAACUUUUUACCACCCUGAAGUCAAUGAGGAUUGUUCACUUAAGCGAGAAUUGUUAUCAAUUUAAAGUGAAUUUCAAGUUUAAAGUAUGACUAUAGUGUUUGGAAUAGAAAAACUGUCCCUAACUUUAUAAGUCUGUCCACCACCAUCCGAUGAUUGAAGUGUUAAAAACCCUCUUCCCAUAACCAAUGCUCUGCUAUGGGGAACAUAGCAGAUGUUAGAUGUCCUAAUGCUAAGCGAGAUGACGUCCAAGGUCCAUGAGUGAACCGGAAGUGCUAACAGCCAAGAGAGGAGGUUGAGUUAACACUGCAAUGUAAUCACUGCAGUUUAUCAGAACAUGUUUUACAUUGCAGAGUUAAACAAAGAGGGACACUGCACCUAGACUCCUUCAAUGAGAUGAAGUGGUCUGGGUGCCUAUAGUGUCACUUUAAGGGCUAAAUUGGAAGCAUAGAUAACUUGAGACAAUUCUCACUUCAGUGACACACUUUGAAAUAACAUAAAUUUGAAAGCUAGCCUUGUGCACAAAUCAAAUUUCUGUUCAAAAUACUUCUGUUUAAAUAGCGCAAAAACUUAUAUCAGCAUCUCCAAUAAAUCUGACAUACAGCAUUUCUGGGCUCCUAGCAACUACACACCAUGGACAUCUACACGUUUCAUUCGAAAGGCAAUUUGUCAGUUCCAGUUAAGUUAGAACCAUUCUACCCUCCUGACGAUAUAGAGAUAUUACAGGUUAAUUGAUUAAAAAGUCAUGCAGCAAUGACUUUGUAAUUUUAAAUCAAUUGCCUACAUUGGUAAAUAUAGAAUACUAUUUGCAAUUUUAAAAAUGUAAAAUAAAUGAAUAAAAAAAAAUUUAUAAAACCAGUAAACAACCUUACCAAUACACAUAUAUUGAAAAAACAAUUCUAAAUACCACCAGUUUAUUAAGUUUACAAUAUAGUAACAUCACUCAGUUUAUACUUUGUAUGAACUAUAGAGAAAACCAUUCUUUCUACAUGUCACUAUAUUUAUGAAAUAAAUAACAUCUUUCAAAUUGCAACAAAAUGUAUACUAAAUGAUAGUUUCCCCUUCCUAUUCAAAGUAUAACAGUUAAACAUAUAGGUAUUAGAAGAUGAAAAGAGCAAUUAUAAAGAACAAACAAAACAAAAACAAAAAUUUUUUAAAAAUAAAAUACAAAACAAAAAGCCCCUUGAUCAGCCAUAAUCAGUAUAGGAAGGAAAUGUCUCAUGCCACAUUCAGAGCCCUGGUAACCGAGGUAAAUAGCCAAAAAAAUGCAUCUGCCUCAUGCCAUAGCAGAGAUUAGGACACUGAUUGGCUGAGAGCACUCAGGUGAUGCUACCCCAUUACAUGGCUCUGAUAUUUUAUUAUUGCAGGUAGUUGGGGGACUAAGCCAUUUAGAAGUGGUGCGGAUGCCAGUGCUGGGUGACGCCAGACACCAUAAUCACUUUAAUCAGUAGAAGUGGCUAUGGUGCCUACAGUGUACCUUUUAAUCAAUUCUGCUAUUCACAAAAGACAAAAUUAUGUAUUUCAAUCACAUUUGCACUUCUAUUCAGUUUCAGUUUAAAAGUCAGGCAAAUCUCCAUAUAACAUAGGUGAUUCAACCAUUCAUUUGUUCCAAUUCCCCAGAUACUAACCAGGAGAAACUGGAACUACAAUUCAAAGCUCUGUGAAAUUGCUGCUUAAGGCUACAUACACCAAACAUCACUUCUCAUGAGAGAGACAUUUUAGUACAUGAACAUAUUUCAGAAACAUUUCAUACCUCCUCCAUGAUGCACC